AGGCAGUAGCCAAGGCAGGCACCGAAAGCAGCGUGCCACACGUUGCACCAGACGCCCUGUUGAAAGCUGGCCCAGCCUGGGCUCUUGUCGGCCCUUGCCCUGCAGCUCAGCAGUAAGGAAGGGGAUAUCCGUGCUGCAGCUUUUCCCUCACUCAGAAGUCUGUCGAGUCAUGAAGCAUCUGAUGCCGUUUAUGAAGCUUGCAUCUUGUGUCCAGAGAAUAUUGCCAGGAUCACUAGUCAGUCUGGAGGCUUGACGGUCACAAUCCAGGUGAUGUCAGUUCCUUUGGUGUCUGCUGCUACUGUGAGAGGGCAAACUGACACCAUCAAAAUAUGAAGAAAACAAGACACUGCAGUGAACUCAGCAGGAAACGAAGAGGAUCUCCAGAGACAACCAGACUCAGAAACCACGAGAGGAUCCUUUCAGUGGGGGGCUUCUUUUGAAGAGAAAAACAGAGUAUCUAAAAGGCUAUGUAACCUAACAGUUUUCUCCCUGUGGAAAACCCUCCUUCUCAAUGGUGCAGGAUCACUCCUAGUUGCAGAGUGGGGCCUCCUGGGACGGCUCCCUUAUUGGUGCAAGCCACCGCCAUGGAAUGAAUGUUCUGCAGCUGAUCCAAUCAGAUUGGCUUGACACUUCCCCAACAUGCCAGCAGACCCGUGGCGUAAGCGCUUGCUCUGUAGGGAAAGGUGCUUUCACUGGCAAAGGAUGGUUGAUUAAACUCUCAAUAGGCUGUUACACACCCCCCUAUGCAACCAGACUUCUUGUUGUACCACUAAAGGCUGGCACUCCAGCAGGGCACUCAAACUACCCAGCCAAUCUAAACUUUCCUGUCCUUUCCAGAGAUAUUUAUAGAUGGGAAUUUUGACAAGAAUGAGUUUCUGUUUUUGAAGGAAUACUUUUACUCAUUACAAUUUCUGUUUUUAGUUUGCGGGUGUCCAAAAGGUGAAAGUAAUUGACAAAAAUGUAGUAUGUGUGUGCUUGCUAAAGAAUGCGAUGAAUAAAUCUAUCCAGGAGGAGGAGGAGGGGGAGGAAGAGGAAGACAGACAGAAAAAAAGAGAGACUUUGGCCGCACAAAAACAGCAAUGUGGAAAAUUAGCUCCUCUGCCACGUCAUUUCUAUUUCCCAACCUGCCUGCCAACCCAAGCAAAAAGAAUGGGUGCUGCUAGAACAUGGGGGAAAUUGCAUGUUCCCACAUUGCCAUGUUUUGCAAUUUAAUAAAAUUAAGGAGCGUUCCCAAUCCCCUACUUUAUGUGCAUAGCAAAACUCAAAACUAAUAAAAAAUGUAAUACUAA